rnacentral:rRNA from 1 species
UGGGGAAUUUUGGACAAUUGGGGAAACCCUGAUCCAGCCAUCCCGCGUGUGCGAUGAAGGCCUUCGGGUUGUAAAGCACUUUUGGCAGGAAAGAAACGUCAUGGGUUAAUACCCCGUGAAACUGACGGUACCUGCAGAAUAAGCACCGGCUAACUACGUGCCAGCAGCCGCGGUAAUACGUAGGGUGCAAGCGUUAAUCGGAAUUACUGGGCGUAAAGCGUGCGCAGGCGGUUCGGAAAGAAAGAUGUGAAAUCCCAGAGCUCAACUUUGGAACUGCAUUUUUAACUACCGGGCUAGAGUGUGUCAGAGGGAGGUGGAAUUCCGCGUGUAGCAGUGAAAUGCGUAGAUAUGCGGAGGAACACCGAUGGCGAAGGCAGCCUCCUGGGAUAACACUGACGCUCAUGAACGAAAGCGUGGGGAGCAAACAGG